GACGAACGCUGGCGGCGUGCUUAACACAUGCAAGUCGAACGGAAAGGCCUGCUUUCCCUUGUGGAUUGCGGGUACUCGAGUGGCGAACGGGUGGGUAACACGUGACGUAUCUGACCCCAACUUGAGUAUAAGCUUGGGAUACUGGGCCUAAUUUCCUAUCGGAUUGAAGUGUGGUGGUUGUUGUGGGAUACGUCUUUGUUGUGUCGGUGUGUGAGCUGGCGGCAUAUCAGUUUGUUGUUGGGGAUAUGGCCUACCAAGGGGGCGACGGGUAGCCGGCCUGAGAGCGUGAGCGGACACAUUGGGACUGAGGGACGGACCAGAACCCUGAGGGGGGCAGAAGUGGGGAAGAAUGCACCAUGGGGGGAAGCCUGAUGCAGCGAGGCAGCGUGGGGGAUGACGGCCUUCGGGUUGUAGACUCCUUUCGAGCGCGAGGAAGCCACCUGGUUGGAAGGGUGGUGACGGUAGUGGUAGAAGAAGCCCCGGCUAACUACGUG
rnacentral:rRNA from 1 species